CCCUUAGAUGUUCUGGGCCGCGCGCGCGCUACACUGAUGCAUUCAACGAGUUUCUUCCUGGUCCGAGAGGAAUGGGUAACCUUUUGAAAGUGCAUCGUGAUAGGGAUAGACUAUUGCAAUUAUUGGUCUUCAACGAGGAAUUCCUAGUAGACGUAGUUCAUCAGACUGCAUCGAUUACGUCCCUGCCCUUUGUACACACCGCCCGUCGCUACUACCGAUUGAAUGGUUUAGUGAGAUCUUCGGAUUGGCGCCACUGCGGCUCAGCAAUGGGCUCGGUGGAUGCCGGAAAGUUGAUCAAACUUGAUCAUUUAGAGGAAGUAAAAGUCGUAACA
rnacentral:rRNA from 1 species